rnacentral:rRNA from 1 species
GAGUGAGUUCGCUAGAAUGAAACUAAAACGAAUUGACGGGCACCCGCACACGCGGUGGAGCGUGUAGUUUAAUUAGUAGCAACGAGAGGAACCUUCCCAACUCACCACAGCCCUGUCAGGGAUCCGGAAGAGGACUUUUCCUUCGGGACAGAGAACCCAGACACAGCAUGGGCAUGGUCAUCGUGAGUUCGUGUAUUGAGGUGUUGGUCCCAGUCCGAGCGCAACCCCAACCCUUGGUAGCCAGCAGUUCGCCUGGGCACUCUAAUGAGACUGCCGGGGACAACCCGGAGGAAGGUGGGGAUGACGUCAAGUCAUCAUGCCCCUUAUGGUUAGGGCUACACACGUCAUACAAUGGUCGGUACAAAGGGAAGCCAACCCGCGAGGGGGAGCCAAUCUCAAAAACCCGAUCGCAGUCCGGAUCGCAGUCUGCAACUCGACUACGUGAAGUCGGAAUCGCUAGUAAUCGCGGAUCAGAAUGUCGCGGUGAAUACGUUCCCGGGUCUUGUACACACCGCCCGUCACACCAUGGGAGUGGAUACGACCAGAAGUUCAGGUGAGCCCUAACGUA